CAGAUUUGUCCUAUAGUUGGGUUUUUCACUUACAUUGAAAAUUUUGUCGUGCGAUUCGACGUUUUCUGA
rnacentral:tRNA from 1 species